rnacentral:rRNA from 1 species
CGAGGAAUUGCUAGUAAUCGCGGACUCAUUAAGACGCGAUGAAUACGUCCCUGUUCUUUGUACACACCGCCCGUCGUUAUCGAAGAUGAAGACAGGCGCGAACGAUCUACCAGAAAGUGAGCGCAGGUCUUUAGAUCUGAUACAAGUCGUAACAAGGUAGCUGUAGGAGAACCUGUAGCUGG